CAUAACUGACUUUCUUAUUUUCUUCAUUUCCCCAACUAGGCUUUAGUUGAAGUGUCAAAUUAUCAUCCUUGCGUUUGCACAGCUAUCUGCACUCUGGGAUUGCCCCUGCUGCUGCUCUCAGGCAUAAAGGAAAACUCUGGGUUAACUCCUCCAGGUUCAUUGAUCUCAAAGCUUGGAAUCAAGGUCCCACUUUCUUCUUAGAGAUCUGCUCCUUCCCUUUUCCAGCUGCCAAAAAAACAGAGUGCUCCUGCCAGGUUUCAGAAACUGCAGUCUUUUGAUGAUGCAAGAAAUCACUGUGUUUUGGUACAAGCUUUGGAAAGCUCUGGGGAUCCAGCUUAGAAGGAGAUCAGCCAAAACAAAGGGUGAGGAGGGAGUGGGAGAAAUAAGCUGUUUGAUCCAACGUCAAAUCCCACCACUGACUCCUCUGAAUGAGGCUAUCAGAUGAAGCCCUGUAGCAGUGAGCUGUGUGAAACUGAAAUCGGAGAUUCCACUUACCUUCUGCCUCUUAGAAUCAGACAAACCCUCCACACAGCAAGAGGAUGAAUGGGUCAGUGGGGAGCCUUUGAAGAAUGCUGGAGAAGGACUUGGACAUAUACAAUGAUCUGGAAACAGUCAAAAUCCAGUUGCUGUUUGGCUCUCUGCUUCCAGGGAAAUGUUACUACCUUCCUGCCUGUAUGGUUAAAGGGACCUCGGACCCCCAUCCAUUUUGUAGUUGUAAGUCAGCAACUUGGCAGAAGUGGCCAGUGUGUCUGCAAGCAGGACUCCUUGUGAGAUGCCUGGUGGCCAACGGUUCAAAAGGCAGGAUAAAGCUGGGGAUGAGGCCACUGCCACACUGCAUUGCCAUCGCCCCCAGAACUCGUGGACGUGUAUGGAACGCACUGAACAUCCUCUACUGUUCUGCAAGUUCCAGGAGGACCCAGGAAUGUUCUUGGAUAAUGAGCAUCAGCUGGGUGCCUGUUUCUUCUUCAGGCGUCCCUCAAUGAGACCUCGGGGAUACCCACGGGCCUCUCUAGGAGUUCCUAUCACAGGCACUUGAAUUUUUGCUUCUAUCUUUCUAUCUCCCUCACAUUUCCUGCCCACCCCCACCUUAUUUUCUCCUAGAGUCUCACUUAAAAAAUCUGUGAUUGAAGAGUAUACUAAUUCCCACCUCAUCUGUGUGAGAAAUCAUUUUACCCAGAGUCUUCUGAGGUCUCCCUGCUUGUUUUUAGAGAAGAGAGCCUUAAGUCUCCUCUCUCUUAUGCCCUGCCCUGUGAAAUAUCCAAAAUCCUCCUCAAAUUUCCUGAGAACCUCUCAAGAGGUAGAUCCUUUCAGUCAACCCUGACUCUCGACUCCUGCUUUCACUGGACUUCAUGUGGGUUGUCAACCCUGUACCUGCUGUGCACUUCUUUCUACACCAGUCACCCAGACAAGAACCUGGCACCUGCGGCGCCUGGGUGGCUCAGUCGUUUAAGUGUCUGCCUUCAGCUCAGGUUAUGAUCCCUGGGGUCCUGGGAUCGAGCCCCACAUCAGGCUCCCUGAUCAGCGGGGAGUCUGCUUCUCCCUCUGCCUCGCUCUCUCUCUCAAAUAAAUAAAGUCUUGAAAAGAAAAAAAAAAAAAAC
rnacentral:lncRNA from 1 species